UACAGAGGUGGCAAGCGUUGUUCGGAAUUACUGGGCGUAAAGGGCGCGUAGGCGGCCUUCUAAGUCAGACGUGAAAUCCCCCGGCUUAACCUGGGAACUGCGUCUGAUACUGGUUGGCUUGAAUCCGGGAGAGGGAUGUGGAAUUCCAGGUGUAGCGGUGAAAUGCGUAGAUAUCUGGAGGAACACCGGUGGCGAAGGCGGCAUCCUGGACCGGUAUUGACGCUGAGGAGCGAAAGCCAGGGGAGCAAACGGG
rnacentral:rRNA from 1 species